UACGGGGGGAGCAAGCGUUGUUCGGAUUUACUGGGCGUAAAGGGCGCGUAGGCGGUCAGCACAAGUCAGUUGUGAAAUCUCCGAGCUUAACUCGGAAAGGUCAACUGAUACUGUGCGACUAGAGUGCAGAAGGGGCAACUGGAAUUCUUGGUGUAGCGGUGAAAUGCGUAGAUAUCAGGAGGAACACCGGUGGCGAAGGCGGGUCUCUGGGCCGAUACUGACGCUGAGGAGCGAAAGCGUGGGGAGCGAACAGG
rnacentral:rRNA from 1 species